CUGGUUUCUUAGAAAUCAGCUGCCUGGGCUUCCAGCUGCCGCCUGGACUUCAUCUCUCACCGAAGAGCCCCCUCACCCUGGGGGAGAAACUACGACCUCAAAGAAGUAUGGUGGUUUGAUCUGGCCAGGACUCCCAGCUGGAGUGGAGAUCCAGAAGCAGUCCACGUGUGCCCAGCCUCUCUCCUGAGCCAGACUCAAGGGAGAUGAAGAGACGGAGCAGGAGCCGGAGCCCCGAUGCCCUGUGUGAGCCCUGGAUCCAGCCGUACCUGAUCUCCACCUCCAGACUUACCUGUUACACAAACCACAGGUUUCCUUUUUUGGCUUAUCCUUGUCUGAGUUAUGUUGCUGUCACUUGCAACGCUAAGAGUCAAAACAACCCUUCGGCCUGGAAGAGCGAGGACUAGUUUUGGCAGGAUCUGGGGCCCAUGGUGAUCCCCGCUCUCCCUGGUGUCUGCCCUCCAGGAAAGGUGGGUUGCAGACACUUCCACAUCCCCAGGGUCCACGGGUUUUGUUAAUAACCGACUUUUUUUUUAACUUUGGGGAAAAAAAAUUCCACGUUUUUUAAAAAAAAAGUUCCUUCCCAUUUUUUUUUGAACAGACUAUUUUUAGAGCAGUUUUAGGUUCACACUGAAAUUGAGUGGAAAGCACAGAGUUUCCAUAUACCCACUGCUCCCACCCCACGCACUGCCUCCCCCACUACAACAUCCCACACCAGUCCACGUUCUUUCCUAACUUCCAUGUUUGUUUUUAAAUU